UACGGAGGGUGCAAGCGUUGCUCGGAAUUAUUGGGCGUAAAGGGCAGGUAGGUGGUCUUAUUUGUCUGGGGUGAAAUCCUUGAGCUUAACUCAAGAAGUGCCCCGGAGACGGUGAGACUAGAGUUUUGGAGAGGGUCGUGGAAUUCCCGGUGUAGCGGUGAAAUGCGUAGAGAUCGGGAGGAACACCAGAGGCGAAAGCGGCGACCUGGACAAUGACUGACACUCAACUGCGAAAGCGUGGGGAGCAAACAGG
rnacentral:rRNA from 1 species